rnacentral:rRNA from 1 species
GAUGAACGCUGGCGGCGUGCCUAAUACAUGCAAGUCGAACGAUAGCAGCCGGUGCUUGCCUUGUUCAAUCUAGUGGCGCACGGGUGUGUAACAUGUGGGUAACCCGCCCUUCAGAGGGGGAUAACAUCCUGAAACGGGUGCCUAAACCGCAAUAGCCUUCGAACCGCAAGGAUUGAAGAGGAAAAGCGGCGCAAGCUCCUGCUGAUGGAUGUGCCCGCGGUGCAUUAGCUAGUUGGUGAGGUAACGGCUCACCAAGGCCAUGAUGCAUAGCCGACCUGAGAGGGUGAUCGGCCACAUUGGAACUGAGACACGGCCCAAACUCCUACGGGAGGCAGCAGUAGGGAAUCUUGCGCAAUGGACGCAAGUCUGACGGAGCAACGCCGCGUGAGUGAAGAAGGUUUUCGGAUCGUAAAACUCUGUUGUUGGGGAAGAACAAGUGAAAGAGUAACUGUUAGCGCCUUGACGGUAUCUAACCAGAAAGCCACGGCUAACUACGUG